rnacentral:rRNA from 1 species
UACGUAGGAUGCAAGCGUUGUCCGGAAUUAUUGGGCGUAAAGCGAACGUAGGCGGCUUCUUAAGUUUGGUCUUAAAGACCGGGGCUCAACCCCGGGAAUGGACUGAAUACUGGGAGCUGGAGGAUGUCAGAGGAAAGUGGAAUUCCCAGUGUAGCGGUGAAAUGCGUAGAUAUUGGGAAGAACACCAGUGGCGAAAGCGA